GUAUAUUAGUUAUUAUAUAUUUAUUAUAUAGCCGAAUUUUUGAUUCCGUAUUUUUAAUUGGUAAAUGUAUAAUAUCCGUAUAAAUUACGUAUCCGAAUAAUUACCAAAUCCGUUUUUUAGCCGUAUUUUUCAACGAAUUUAAAAAUUAAAAGACGAAUUUUAUCCGAAUUAUAUACGUACCGAAUUUUUGCCGAAUCCGAAUUAACUAACUAUGGUUGCUGGAGCUCGGGGGAUGAGGUUUAAGCCAUUCCCUUUCUCUCUGUAGGUUUUCUCUCUCCUUGAAGUGAGAUUUAGUGAUUUGAGCUUAUUUUUC
rnacentral:lncRNA from 1 species